GAAAACUCUGAGUAUCAUAUGCAGUUCUUUGCAAUGGGUUUAUGAUCCGAGGCAACAGGAGAAGGACAGAGCAAAAGCUAAACCUGAUCGGAAUCAAAGUCAAAGAGAUGAUGGUGAAAGCGGCUCAGAUGAUGAACCUGAUUGGAUGAGAAACUUUGUUGCUAACAAAGACGUUCAAAAACAGGAGAAGAAAGUGAAGAAGAAAUUUGGUUUAUGAAAAUCAAAUGAGAGAAAGAAUCAAGAUGCAGAAAUUAUUCCGCGUGUUUUGGAAGGGGAAGAUUUUCAUGUGAAAAAAGAUUAGGUGGGUUUGAAUGAUAAGGAGUUUUGUUGGAAGAUUAUGUAACAUGAAGUCAGUCUUGGCAGUGGGAAAUCAAAGAGGAAAGCUGGAGCGAGUUUAGUUAGUUCAUCGAGCAAUGAGGAAAAGGAAAAAGAUGGGUCUGAUGAGGAGGAGGAAAAGGAGUUGAAGAUUUAUUUUUGUAGCCAAACGCAUUUGCAGCUCUCACAGUUCAUUAAGGAGUUGAGAAAGACCAGUUUUACCAAUGAAGUAAAAGUUGUAUGUUUGGGAUCUAGAAAGAAUUUCUGCAUUAAUGAAGAUGUUCUAAAACUUGGAAAUGCCACUCGCAUUAAUGAACAAUGCUUGGAGCUUCAAAAGAGCAGAAAAAAUGAAGUCUCCAAAAUUAAGAAUAUAGGUGUGAAGGGAAGAUUACGCCGAACCAAGGCUUCUUCUGGAUGCCCAAUGCUUAGAAAACAUAAGCUACAAAGGCAAUUUAGAAAUGAGAUUUCUCAACUUGGAGCACUGGAUAUUGAAGAUCUUGUUCAACUUGGAAGAAGUAUGGGAACUUGUCCAUAUUAUGGCUCCCGAAGCAUGGUCCCAGCAGCUGAUCUUGUGGUUCUCCCAUAUCAAUCUCUUCUAUCAAAAUCAUCACGUGAAUUUCUAGGACUGAACUUGAAGAACAGUAUUGUUAUAAUAGACGAGGCUCAUAAUCUUGCUGACUCCUUGAUCAGCAUGCAUGAUGCAAAAAUUACAUUUUUAGAGUUGGAUCAUGUGCAUUCUCUCAUAGAAAAGUACUUUGCAAGAUUUCGC
rnacentral:misc_RNA from 1 species